CCUACGGGCGGCAGCAGUGAGGAAUAUUGGUCAAUGGGCGAGAGCCUGAACCAGUCAAGUCGCGUGAGGGAGUACUGCCCUAUGGGUUGUAAACCUCUUUUGUCGGGGAGCAAAAGCCGGACGUGUCCGGCUGUGAGAGUACCCGAAGAAAAAGCAUCGGCUAACUCCGUGCCAGCAGCCGCGGUAAUACGGAGGAUGCGAGCGUUAUCCGGAUUUAUUGGGGUUAAAGGGUGCGCAGGCGGAUUUUUAAGUCAGCGGUCAAAUCGUGGGGCUCAACCCCAUCCAGCCGUUGAAACUGGGGAUCUAGAGUGUGCGAGAGGUAUGCGGAAUGCGUGGUGUAGCGGUGAAAUGCAUAGAUAUCACGCAGAACCCCGAUUGCGAAGGCAGCAUACCGGUGCACAACUGACGCUCAGGCACGAAAGCGUGGGUAUCGAACAGGAUUAGAUACCCGGGUAGUC
rnacentral:rRNA from 1 species